rnacentral:pre_miRNA from 1 species
AAUAAGUGCAGUUUUGCACUAUUCACGUUUAACGUUUGACCGUCCGUCUUAUUUGAAAAAUUUGUGAAAAAAUUAAAAACAUUUAGUCACACAUAAAGUACUAUUCAUGUUUUAUCAUCUAAUAGCAAUAAAAAUACUAAUCAUAAAAAAUUUUUAAAUAAGACGGACGGUCAAACGUUGAACGUGAAUAGUGCAAAACUGCACUUAUU